UGUUUUAUUUUUUUCUACUUUUGGCAGCAGUAAUGUGUCUGCCAGCCCAUGUGAUGCAUGGGAUUGGGUUGUUUAACGUUACACAAGAAGCAACGAUGUUGAACUUGCAAACCCUUUAGUUAUAAGUUUGAGAGAGACGUUUCUGUAUUCUACUGUUGAUUCUGCAGACCUUUCCAGCGAGGCCGAGCCUGCAGUGGUUAUGUCCUUUCCUGUAGUGUCUGCUAGAGAGAUGUGAGGUCUGUUUGAGGCCCUGCUGUGUGACUCUUCACGGCAGGGUUAUAGACUGAAGACGUGUGUGCAAUGUCCAGCAUCAAGAUGUCAAGGCCUGCAGAGAUGAAGCCGAGCCUUGCCCUGCUCGGACCUCCUGACUGACAUCUGGUGCUCGUGUAUGACUUUGAGCUGAAAAAUAAGGAGUGGAAGGCUCAGCGCUACGUUCAGAGGCGUUCAGCUGCCGAGUACAGAAGUUGGUCAAGUGACUUCAAAACUUCCAGUUGAAGAGUUGACCAGUAACCAUGUGAUCGAUGAUGUGGCUCCUCAUUGAAAGUGCAAACUUGAGGGAAUUCACCAACGUGGCAAGACUUUGAAACAGAUUUCUUCUGAGAGAUGAACCAGUUCAUCUGCUGAAGGCAACAAAGGUCACAUUUGUACUUCUGCAGUAAAGUCGAUUUCUGUAAUGGGCAAGAGGAAAGAAUGUUUUGUGUUAAGAUUUAUGUUGGUGGUAAAGUCAUAAAUGUUGUACAAGGUAUUGAAGAGAAACGCUGUUGAAAUAAACAUUCUAAACACA